rnacentral:rRNA from 1 species
GAUGAACGCUGGCGGCGUGCCUAAUACAUGCCAGUCGAGCGGACAGACGAGGAGCUUGCUCCUCUGACGUUAGCGGCGGACGGGUGAGUAACACGUGGAUAACCUACCUAUAAGACUGGGAUAACUUCGGGAAACCGGAGCUAAUACCGGAUAAUAUAUUGAACCGCAUGGUUCAAUAGUGGAAGACGGUUUUGCUGUCACUUAUAGAUGGAUCAGCGCCGCAUUAGCUAGUUGGUAAGGUAACGGCUUACCAAGGCAACGAUGCGUAGCCGACCUGAGAGGGUGAUCGGCCACACGGUAACUGAGACACGGUCCAGACUCCUACGGGAGGCAGCAGCAGGGAAUCUUCCGCAAUGGGCGAAAGCCUGACGUAGCAACGCCGCGUGAGUGAUGAAGGUCUUCGGAUCGUAAAACUCUGUUAUUAGGGAAGAACAAAUGUGUAAGUAACUAUGCACGUCUUGACGGUACCUAAUCAGAAAGCCACGGCUAACUACGUG